ACUAAUAUUAAUAUGCAUUUUAAUUCUUAGACAUUUCCCUUUCCAAAAAAAUUUAGUCUAAAUUAAUUAAUCGAGGGAAAAAUUGAUCUCCAAUGAUAUACAUUCUAUUCAUAGUUUCACGAAUGAUAUCAAAAAUAAAUUUAUAUGUUAUGAUUUCUAAAAUAAUAAAAUUUCAAAUAACAAUUUAAAACAUUUAUAAGCAAUAAAUUAAAAACUAUUUGUGGUGCAAAAAUGAUUGAAUCAAAUUAAAAACUAAUGGGGCCUAAACUCUAUAUUUAAUCUAAGUCUUAAGCCCAAAUGAUCCAAUAGUAACGAUUUAAAAUAGAAAAACUGAUUGCAAAUGGGCAAACAAUUUAAAAUAAUUUCAAUCGUUCAAUCAUUAUACAAGCAAUUAUACAUAAAUAUUGCUCGGUGAUUAUGCAAUCAAGAUUUAGAAAUAAUAAGCAUAUGAAUGAUCUAAAUUACUCUAAUAUCAGUUGUUGAAAUGCGGAACAAUAAUUACAUGGAAAAUAAAAAAAUAAAUCUUUAAUUCAAGAUCAUUACUAGAUGUUAACGUAUAUGUUAUAAUUAAAAAACCUAUAUUAAAGAUGUACUCAAGUUCGACAAUCCUUAAUACCAGUAAAUAAUGGGGGGAAAUUGCUUCACGGGGCAUAACCCAGUGGUAUAAAAGGAUAGGAGUGAGGUAGUCUCAACUUUGCUGGCAGUCGCAGUGUGAGAGUUUGAUUUCUAAGAUAUGAAAUUUGAGUGGGAACUAGUAUAUGGACAAGCUCUUAUUCUCUGGUCUGUUGGGACAUAUCCCUCGAAUUAACUCCCUCACGAUGCUCUAGGGGUGGGGCGGUAGGGGCCCUCAAAGUUGGGGUUCAACAUUUUUUAAAAUAAUUGGGGGAAAUAGUAAAGGGUUUGAGAAUCGAUUCUAGCAAAAAUCGAUUUGAAAAAAAGCUUAACACCUAGGCAGAACGGAUUGUUAUCCCUAAAAUAUGAAACUGAUUUGAAAAUAAAUAAAAACUAAAAUAAAUAAUGUUAUACUGUAAACCAGUAAUGAUCUAUAGAUAUAUUAGCACAUUUCAAUUUUAUGAAUGAGAAUUGGUAUUUACCCUGAUAUUGUGAAAGCAAUCCUCUUUAGUGGGCCUUUGCCUAUUUAGUAUUUACUUCCCAUUCUUUAUAUUAUCUUUGUCAUCUUUUCCUUUUUCAAUUUUUGUCGUUUGAUUAUUUUAAAUAAAACGGGUUAAUUAAUAGGAAUUCAGCAAUAAAAUUAACUAGCAAAAAGAGUAAACACAUGCAACAAAAAUGUACACAUCAAUUAUCAAGUGUAUAUUUUCCUUUAAAUAAAAUUUCAGGGAUAUUAAUUUGGGAAUUAAGGGAAAAAAAAGUUGGAAAGGUAAAAAAUAUGUAAAAUUGAAAUGUAAUCCACAUAUCUAAAUAAACAAACAUAUACCUUCCAUAUUUACUCGACAAAUUUGAGGGUUAUUCAUAAGCACAGUUAGUAUAGCACCUUUACUUUCAGGGCUUCUUUGGAUAGCACCACUGCUACUGUUUAACCAUAUCCUAAUAUCCUUCAAUAGGAGAAAACUUUAAAAGGGAAGAAGAAAAAAGUACAAGCUAAUCUCUCGAUAAUAGGGAAGAGGUUUAUCAAUUCUCCAUCAAAUAUUCCCCUUCCUCUCUCUUGCUUGCUUGGUUUGGUAAGGGUCAAAGGAAGUUCAUGGUUUGGAGUUUAUGGUAUGCCGUAUGCACAAGUGGUAUCCUUAGUAACGCAGACUCCUAGUACAAAUUAAGUACACUAGUACUAAAAUAUAUGUCAAUGGCCAGCUUAGUAACACAGAUUCAUAGUACAAAUUAAGUAAACUAGUCACUUUUCAAAAGAGUAAUUAGCACAAAAUAUC
rnacentral:lncRNA from 1 species